UACAGAGGUCUCAAGCGUUGUUCGGAUUCAUUGGGCGUAAAGGGUGCGUAGGUGGCGGGGUAAGUCAGGUGUGAAAUUUCGGAGCUUAACUCCGAAACUGCAUUCGAUACUGCCGUGCUUGAGGACUGGAGAGGAGACUGGAAUUUACGGUGUAGCGGUGAAAUGCGUAGAUAUCGUAAGGAAGACCAGUGGCGAAGGCGGGUCUCUGGACAGUUCCUGACGCUGAGGCACGAAGGCCAGGGGAGCAAACGGG
rnacentral:rRNA from 1 species